rnacentral:rRNA from 1 species
CUUCGGUGGGNNUUAAUGGCGAACGGGUGAGUAACACGUGGGCAAUCUGCCCUUCACUCUGGGACAAGCCCUGGAAACGGGGUCUAAUACCGGAUACUGACCCUCGCAGGCAUCUGCGAGGUUCGAAAGCUCCGGCGGUGAAGGAUGAGCCCGCGGCCUAUCAGCUUGUUGGUGAGGUAAUGGCUCACCAAGGCGACGACGGGUAGCCGGCCUGAGAGGGCGACCGGCCACACUGGGACUGAGACACGGCCCAGACUCCUACGGGAGGCAGCAGUGGGGAAUAUUGCACAAUGGGCGAAAGCCUGAUGCAGCCACGCCGCGUGAGGGAUGACCGCCUUCGGGUUGUAAACCUCUUUCAGCAGGGAAGAAGCGAAAGUGACGGUACCUGCANAANAAGGCGCCGGCUAACUACGUGCCAGCAGCCGCGGUAAUACCUAGGGCGCAAGCGUUGUCCGGAAUUAUUGGGCGUAAAGAGCUCGCAGGCGGCUUGUCACCUCGGUUAAGAAAGCCCGGGGCUUAACCCCGGGUCUGCAUUCCAUACCGGCAGGCUAGANUNNCGUAGAGUACAUCGGAAUUCCUGGUGUAGCGGUGAAAUGCNCAGAUAUCANGANUAANACNGGUGGCGAANGCCGAUCUCUGGGNCNNUACUGACNUUGAGAGNCNAAAGCGUGGGGAG